GUCAGUAAACGUCAGAUUAUUUGUUAUACCCCAAUAUUAUAUAUUUUUUAUAUUCGUAAAAGAGAAAACGGCCACUAUUUUUUAGAUUCAGUUUAGAAAUAAUAAAAAAUGUUAAUUCCGGAUCAAAAAAAUGCAUAAUACAAAACCAAAAGUUACAGUUAAUGACGAUUAUAUUGAUUUAAGAAAUUUUGAUGAAAGUCAUGCAAAGAACAGAGGAAAUUCCAUGUCUCGUAAAUCUCCGAACAGAAAAAAUAAAUCAUCUAUGAAUUCUCUGUAUUUAAAAGACGAACAUUUACAGAAGGAUAAAGAGUUAAUAAAUCAUGGUCUAAAGAACUUGGUGACUACAUACAACAAAACCAAGACCCGUUUGGAAAAAACUAACCAGCCACGAAGGAUACCAUGUUUAAAUAAAAGGUUACCAACCGAAAUAAGAUAUACAAGUUACUUAGAAAAACCGGCAGAUGAUCAGCAUAGUUUCAAGUCAAAAUCUGAUACGUCGCUUAAUCGAGAUAAAAUACCAAUAAGAAAUGUAUCAUCCAGUGCUCCUUUCUCAUUAAGCAAAAACAUAAUAGAUUCAAAUGCAGACAAAGUAGAGCCAUUCAGAAAUAAAGUUACUAUGACGGGAAAUGAAGAUAUGAAUGAUAAAACACGAGUUCUGACACCAAGUAAGCGUAAGCAGAAAUCCCAUUGCAGGUCUAAAUCAAGAGAUGGUGAUAUUAGGGAUACUGCAAAAUGUGUGGUACAAACUCCUUACCAGAAUGGACGCAAAUCAAACGAUUGCUUGAACAGACCUAUAGAUCCUCGAUUAAAAGAAAAAUAUUCCAUCUUGCACGUACCGUGCGUGAAGAGAUCGUGGUCGAUACCAAUUUUUUCAAGCAAAACGAGUGUACAUGGUACUAAAGGCAAUGACAAUUAUGAUAGACAAACUUAUUUAUACGACGAUGGUAGCGAGAUAGAAUCUGCGUAUUUAACUCAGAAAACAAAUUUUAAUAAAGAAUGUCCCAGAGAAUUUACAGUCGUUUUGUUUACAAUGGGAGCAGUCUGUGGAAUCCUGUUAGCUUCCUUACUAAUUUAUAUAAUAUUUGGUAACGACGUACUUCAUGUCUUUUUCAAACAAAGAGAACCUCCUGACGCAUCUAUAAAGUCGUACGUUAAGUACGUUGGAGGAGGCCUAAUAUACAUUAUAACACGAUUCUUUAAAGUCAUGGGAGAAGUUUUGUCUAUACCUGUCAACAAAAAAGAGGAUUAUUUGGGUACUUAAUGGAUAAAAUUCAUACUACUUAGGGAAAUGUUUCGAGAUCAAAUUGGACUAUCAUCAGUGAAACCUGCGAGUAUUUCCAGGAUUAAAAUGAAUACAAAAGGGGUGAAGAAAGGUCAAAAUCUAUUUAAAUCCAUGAAAUAUUAAACUCACAAAUACCUGUCUUAGUAAUUAAACAAUUAUAGUAUGAUUUAAGACAUUAAAAAGGCAAAACUGUACAAAUACUUUGUAUUUAUUUUAAAUGUCAAUUACAUUAUAAAAAAAAUUAAGAACGUCUGUUGAAUGUGUUUGUAGCUGGUUGCGUUAACUGCAAUCCACUGAUGUUGUUGAAAU